UACGUAGGGGGCAAGCGUUGUCCGGAAUCAUUGGGCGUAAAGAGCUCGUAGGCGGCUUGUCGCGUCGAAUGUGAAAUCUCAGGGCUCAACUCUGACAUUGCAUUCGAUACGGGCAGGCUCGAGUUCGGUAGGGGAGACUGGAAUUCCUGGUGUAGCGGUGAAAUGCGCAGAUAUCAGGAGGAACACCGAUGGCGAAGGCAGGUCUCUGGGCCAUAACUGACGCUGAGAAGCGAAAGCAUGGGGAGCGAACAGG
rnacentral:rRNA from 1 species